ACCUCCUUCUUCUUCUAUCUUGGUUUUUUGUUGUACUUAUAGAGAAGCAUUGAGUUUUUGUUGUCGUUGCACUCACAAACAUUGAGUUCUCUGUUUCAUACUAUUAACUUGACUGAUCAGAGUGGUGGCUGCUGGUGCGAGCAAGAAGAACGGUAGCGGUUGGUGGUGCGAGGAAGAAGAAGAAAACGUCGAAACAGGUCAGUAAAAAC
rnacentral:lncRNA from 1 species